AACACACUGCACCCUUCACACAUACUUCCAAAUAUAUAUAUAUAUGUGUGUAUAUAUAUAUAUAUAUAAAAAUAUAUGUAUGUGUUUGGACGUAUUGUAUGUGUGAAGGGCGCAGUGUGUA